rnacentral:lncRNA from 1 species
UAUAAAAACGGGAAAAAUGUUACCGUUAGCCCUCAUCUCAGCAUUCAACACCUCAGUGCGCAACUUUUCGACUUCAGCAGACAAGCCGAUUAGGUCUUUCUCCAAAGUCUUCAUUUGUUCCACUUUUUCUGUGUUUACGCCUUUUUCAUGUUCAAACGUCUUGCUUCAUUUUCACAACCCAAAAAAAUAAAAUAAAAAAAAAGAGUCGAAAGUAAGUAUAAUAAAAGGAACACCGAACAUAAAUUCAUAACGUAUAUCAAAGACGUAUCACAAAAGAAACACGAAAGUAAAUUGAAAAAUCAUUUCUUUACUAUAUUAUAUAACGAAAAAAAAUGCUUAUUUCACUUACCGUAACCUCUGAUGUUCUUCCCUCAAGCUAUCAAGUUCCGUACGCAUUUCCGGAAUCUCCUUAACAUCCGCACGCAUUUCCGGAAUCUUCUUAACAUCCGCACGCAUUUCCCGGAAUCUCCUUACAUCCGCACGCAUUUCCGGAAUCUUUUUAACAUCCGCAAGAGAAUUAUCCAACUCUUUAGUCGCCAGCUGGAUCUUAUUAGUCAACUCCAGCGUCUCUUUGACCAAACCCCGUUUUCCAUUAUGGGCCUCUUGAAGUUCUUUCUUUAUACUGCUCCCAUUUCGGAUGUCGGCUUCCAUUUUUGCAAUCUUGUCCAACAAAAUCCUUCAAGAACCAAAUUACAAAAGAUGUAUUACAAGUUACAACACACACAUCCCGUACAACAGAAUAAAGAAAAAAAUUAGUAUGUCCCGCACAGGAUGGCCUAGCGAUUGGAGCAAAUAAGAUUUGGGUCAAUUAACCCAAGUUCGAAUACUCUUGUCCACGGUCGUUAGGUCAGCUUGUCACACAUGAUUAGCCUAAUAUAGUUUAUAUAUUUCAUAUGAUUUGCACACUAUUAUACGAGAAUACUCAGUGCACUUAUAUAGUUGAAUAGUGCACUAUAUAUAGUUGUAUACGAGAAUACUCAGUGCACUUAUAUAGUUGAAUAGUGCACUAUAUAUAGUUGAAUAGUGCACUUAUAUAGUUGAAUGUGGGUUCAUUUAUGACAAAAAAAGAAAAAAAAAAUGAAGUAUAAUAUGUCUCAUUCAUCUUUGUAAAUAUUACCAUUAACACCAAACAAAUAACAUUUCAGCCCAACAAACAAGUUCUCUACAACAACUGUUAAUAUAAGUUAUAACUUCAAAGAAAGUAUAAAACCAUUUGUGAAGAACUAUUAUAAUUUGAGAUGAUUUAAUUAACAGGUUAAUUUAAUUGUUCAAUAUCUUAUAGCAUAACAGCCUCCAAAUUCCUAAAUAAAUUAUCGUCUAUAUCUGAGGAGCACUGGACUUAUCGUACACCCCUCCCCAAACAUUACCAGCAGCAUCAACCCCGACAACUUGAGGGGGGGCCACUGCAAAUCCACCGCCAGCAUCACCGCCAAUAACUUGAGGUGGGACAACUGAAAAUCCACCACCGGAUGUGGCAUCACCGCCAAUAACUUGAGGUGGGACCACUGAAAAUCCACCACCGGAUGCGGCAUCACCGCCAACUAACGGACCAGCGAAUACUUGAGGCCCAAUCGAAAAUCCACCAACGGCAUACGGAUAAAAAUGAGGCAUACUGAAACUUUCCGGAUAGCCACCAUUUCCAUAAUACUGAGGUGGAUAUAUGUUACCUGUGUUUACGUAUUGACCGCUGUAUGGGAUUGGAGCUGCAUAUAAAUAUAUAUGAGAACGAUAAUGAAAAAGGGUUUUAGAUGGAAAACUAAUAUAAAAACGGGAAAAAAUGUUACCGUUAGCUCUCAUCUCAGCGUUCAACACCUCAGCGCGCAACUUUUCAACUUCAGCAGACAUGUCGAUUAGGUCUUUCUCCAAAGUCUUCAUUUGUUCCACUUUUUCUGUGUUUACGCCUUUUUCAUGUUCAAACGUCUUGCUUCAUAUUCACAACCCAAAAAAAUAAAAAAAUAAAAAAGCCGAAAGUAAGUAUAAGAAAAGGAAAAAUAAACAUAAAUUCAUAACGUAUAUUAAUGACAUAUCACAAAAGAAACAUGAACGUAAAUUGAAAAUUCAUUUCUUUACUAUAUUAUAGAACAAAAAAAAAUGCUUAUUCCACUUACCGUAACCUCUGAUGUUCUUCCCUCAGGCUAUCAAGUUCCGCACGCAUUUCCGGAAUCUUCUUAACAUCCGCACGAGAAUUAUCCAACUCUUUAGUCGCCAGCUGAAUUUUAUUAGUCAACUCCAGCCUCUCUUUGACCAAACCCCGUUUUUCGUUAUGGGCCUCUUGAAGUUCUUUCUUUAUACUGCUCCCAUUUCGGAUAUCG